CCUACGAGAGGCAGCAGUCGAGAAUCAUUCACAAUGGGGGAAACCCUGAUGGUGCGACGCCGCGUGGGGGAAUGAAGGUCUUCGGAUUGUAAACCCCUGUCAUGUGGGCGCAAAUGAAAAAGAUAGUACCACAAGAGGAAGAGACGGCUAACUCUGUGCCAGCAGCAGCGGUAAUACAGAGGUCUCAAGCGUUGUUCGGAAUCACUGGGCGUAAAGCGUGCGUAGGCUGUUGCGUAAGUCGUGUGUGAAAGGCGCGGGCUCAACCCGCGGACGGCACAUGAGACUGUGAGGCUAGAGUGAUGGAGUGGGAGCCGGAAUGGUCGGUGUAGCAGUGAAAGGCGUAGAUAUCGAAAGGAACACUCGUGGCGAAGGCGGGUUCCUGGACAUUAACUGACGCUGAGGCACGAAGGCCAGGGGAGCGAAAGGGAUUAGAUACCCGGGUAGUC
rnacentral:rRNA from 1 species